rnacentral:lncRNA from 8 species
AUGGUUCCUGUGGCCCAACAAACACACACUACGAGCACUUUUCUUGGUCCUGGCCGCCAUGGGAGGACCAGAUGCAUGCAAUCAAGGGGGCAGCUGGGUGAACCAGGAGGAUUCUGGAGACGUCAAGCAGAAACGAACCCUCCGCCUCACCUCCACAUGCUCCUCCUUUCCAGGGAAAAUCUAAUCUCACCCUCUGUGAAUGUGGUGGAUCGUGGGGCAUAUUAGGGUUGAGAGUAGCCAUGGUCACAAUGCCCUCUGUGGAUUAGAGGGUUACAGAAGCCGUCUUAUGUCAUACUGCCCUGAGAGCUGACCUGGUUACAGACGCUCUGGCCUGUCUGGAAAGAAACUAUGACUGUUUCCAGGGACGGAGAGGAAGAUGGAGAGGAAGCUUGUUCCAUCUGCAUUACAAUGAAUAAAGGCUACCACAUGCAUGUGCGCUCUUGCUUUCCCCUUUUGUGUUAUUGAAUCGAUCGCUUACUGUCAUUCAUUCAGUAACGUAAGCUAAGACUGUGUUAUUGAAUCGAUCCCUUACUGUCAUUCAUUCAGUAACGUAAGCUAAGACUGUGUUAUUGAAUCGAUCCCUUACUGUCAUUCAGUAACGUAAGCUAAGACUGUGUUAUUGAAUCGAUCCCUUACUGUCAUUCAUUCAGUAACGUAAGCUAAGACUCAAUUAAGUGGCUCUCGCCAACUGUAUUGCCCAUAAGGGAUGGUAUCAUUGGAUUCUUUGAGGCCACUGACAGAGAGGACCGUGAUAAGGCUUAAUAGUCACUUUCAGCUCCUCCCCAGCCCAAACCUCACCGGAUACACUGUGUUUGACAUUCCCUUCAAAAGACUGUUUUCCAUUGCUCGCUCCCCAUUAUCUAAAUCCCCCGUAUUGUACAAUCUGGACACGCUGUCGUUUCCCCAGAGCUGAUAAGUAAAAGGACAAAUAUUGAGCACCUGUCUGGAGCCUGCUGGGUUACACUGUUUCCAACAUAGGAAAAAGAUAGGGGAUUUAUUCACUGGUAUUCAGGUCCGACGCUCGCAGGGUGUUGCGUCAAAUCUCCUCCCCUGUGUAUUCUAUUCACACCUGCUGGGGCUUUACAACGUCCCUUCCUGAGGCACUGCUGUCGAGACAUUGUCCAUAUCCACAGCUUUCAUGUCGCCGGGGAAACAUCAGUUUGAGACAUGGAGGGUUGAAUGUCCCUUCUGGUUUUUGUUUGGUGUGCCUUUUUGUUGAGGAAGGCAUCGUGUGGCUUUCAAAGGCUCCAAAGCCCAACUGUCACAGACUGUCAUGCUGAUAAAUGAGAGGGUGUGAGGGAAAUGCACACCAGGCCAGGCCUCCAUAAAUGAGUACUCAAGGCCGACCACAGCUUAAACUGGGCAGAGAAUAGACUGUGGGAAGGGUGGGAAGUGCUGUUGACAACUAGUUUGCAGCUGAUUUCAAAUGAUUUCUGUUCCAAUGCUGAUAUAUCGGACAGGACAGCUGUCUGUUCUCAGACAAAUAUGAGACCACUCUCAAUAGGCCCAUCUGGUUUAUUGGACCAGAAUUUCCAUUCAAUUUGUGGUCCUUUUAUUUGUCAUUUUCCCCUAUGGAGAAAUGGAGCAGGUUCAGCCAUUGAAAAUAGAGUCCAGUAUUUUGAAUAAUGAGAGAGAACUAGCAUCAGUAUGUAAGGUAUCUGUCCACCGCCACAUGGAGCAAAACGAUAUACUGCUAGUCUGCACUGAAAAGAGGCUGCAUAUUUCAUCACAAACCAUGUCAACCUGUAAAUCAUUUUUAAUAAUGAAAGCAAAUUACAUCACUAUCUUCAUUAAAUAGCAUGUAAAGUACACCUACAAACAUAUUGGCUAUUUUAUGGCUUGACCCUUACUUUCCUUUACCUGCUAGGCAGUGGAGGCUGCUGAGGGGAGGACGGCUCAUAAUGACUGGAAUGGAAUGGUAUCAAACGCAUGAUUUUCAUCUGUUUAAUACUAUUCCAUUCACUUAAUUCCAGCCAUUACACUUGAUUCCAGCCAUUAUUAUGAGCCGUCCUCCCCUCAGCAGCCUCCACUGCUGCUGGGAGUUAUAUGGGAGGCAGGUUUAGGGGUCAAUUCCAUUUAAAUUCCAGUUGUCUUCAAUGCUUUUCAAUGAGGAACAUUUGGAAUUGAAGUGGAAUUGACCCCAACCCUGGUGGGGGGAGUGAGGGUCUGCGGACCUCUGGGUGGUUGCUUCUCCUGGUUAGAUCAGUGGCCUGAGAGUGAGAGGCCAUGGGGCCAGAGAGGAGCUU